UUGUGGCCCCAUUACAACGGUUCACAUUAGAUCACCGAAGUUAAGCAACGCUGAGCUUGGUCAGUACCUCAAUGGAUGGCCGCUUGGGAAUACUAGGUGA